rnacentral:lncRNA from 1 species
GGCCGGCAGCCGGGCGCGUCAUCCUCCGGGGGCGGGGCCCGGGCCGCAUUGUCUCGUCUAGGGCCGGCUGGACGCCCCAGAGGCCGGACCUGGGCAACCCCAGCCUGGAGGUGCCGGGGCCGGAGCUCCCAGAGGGCUGGGUGCGAGGCCUAGGCGGGGUCAGGUUCGGGUUCCUAGGCCAUAGCGGAGCUGCAGCCCAGGCGGCCGGAGCGGAACCCAGCCCCGCUCCGAGUGCCACGUCUCCAGGAACCCCCUCCUUACUCUUGGACAACACUCCGCCCCCGCCCGGGCCUCCGUCCCCCAAACCGCCCUCAUUUGUGCAGCGCCAGAUCCUUCGGACACAUCCCUAGGUGUCUCCAUCCUCAUUCGGUCCAUCCAACUCCCAGACCUCACGUCAACCGGCUGCACCCCACUUUCCAGCCUGCGCCCCAGAUCUGCAGCCUUCGCCCCUAGAUACACCCGCCUGGUGAUGAGGCGCUCCUCGCGUUCCUUCCGGGCUCCAGGUGUCCGUGAGCCUCCCUUCCGCCCUGGCCUCCGGUCUCUGCCUUGCUCGUGCUUCUACCACCACCCUUCCCCUCCCAACCCGGUGGAUCCUCUCGUCUCCCCCAGUCUCCAGUGCACCGGCUUUCCCUCGUCCUCUGCGCAGUCCAUCUCAGCUCAUCUCUCCAAUUCAAUGCCAUCAUCUCUCCUCACCAUCUCUCGGUGCCCUGGAAUGUUUGCUGUCAGAUGUCCCCUGUGAAACCCACAAACGCUUGCGAUUUGGCCUCCUUGUUUUAUUUUGUGUAGUCCUACAACGUCUUGUUACUACCCCCUAUUACAACACUUAUAACUCAGUA